rnacentral:rRNA from 1 species
AUUGAACGCUGGCGGCAUGCUUUACACAUGCAAGUCGAACGGCAGCGCGGGCUUCGGCCUGGCGGCGAGUGGCGAACGGGUGAGUAAUGCAUUGGAACGUGCCCAGUAGUGGGGGAUAGCCCGGCGAAAGCCGGAUUAAUACCGCAUACGACCUGAGAGUGAAAGCGGGGGACCGAAAGGCCUCGCGCUAUUGGAGCGGCCGAUGUCGGAUUAGCUAGUUGGUGGGGUAAAGGCUUACCAAGGCGACGAUCCGUAGCUGGUCUGAGAGGACGACCAGCCACACUGGGACUGAGACACGGCCCAGACUCCUACGGGAGGCAGCAGUGGGGAAUUUUGGACAAUGGGGGCAACCCUGAUCCAGCCAUGCCGCGUGCGGGAAGAAGGCCUUCGGGUUGUAAACCGCUUUUGUUCGGGAAGAAAUCCUCUGGGCUAAUACCCCGGGGGGAUGACGGUACCGGAAGAAUAAGCACCGGCUAACUACGUG